GGCCUACCAUGGUGGUAACGGGUAACGGGGUGUUAGGGCACGACACCGGAGAGGGAGCCUGAGAAACGGCUACCACAUCCAAGGAUGGCAGCAGGCGCGCAAAUUACCCAAUCCCGACACGGGGAGGUAGUGACAAUAAAUAACAAUACGGGGUUCUUUAGGAUCUCGUAAUUGGAAUGAGUACAAUUUAAAUCUCUUAACGAGGAACAAUUGGAGGGCAAGUCUGGUGCCAGCAGCCGCGGUAAUUCCAGCUCCAAUAGCGUAUAUUAAAGUUGUUGCAGUUAAAAAGCUCGUAGUUGAAUUUCGGGGUUAGUAGGUUGGUCAUGCCUCUGGUAUGUACUGGUCUCACUGAUUCCUCCUUCCUGAUGAACCUUAAUGCCAUUAAUUUGGUGUUUUGGGGAAUUUGGACUGUUACUUUGAAAAAAUUAGAGUGUUUAAAGCAAGCUAACGCUUGAAUACAUUAGCAUGGAAUAAUGAAAUAGGACGUUCGAUCCUAUUUUGUUGGUUUCUAGGAUUGACGUAAUGAUUAAUAGGGAUAGUUGGGGGCACUAUUAUUCAAUUGUCAGAGGUGAAAUUCUUGGAUUUAUUGAAGACUAACUACUGCGAAAGCAUUUGCCAAGGAUGUUUUCAUUAAUCAAGAACGAAAGUUAGGGGAUCGAAGACGAUCAGAUACCGUCGUAGUCUUAACCAUAAACUAUGCCGACUAGGGAUCGGAUGAUGUUAAUUUUUUAAUGACUCAUUCGGCGCCUUACG
rnacentral:rRNA from 1 species